UACGUAGGGAGCAAGCGUUGUCCGGAAUCAUUGGGCGUAAAGCGCGCGUAGGUGGCUUCGUAAGUCCGUUGUGAAAGUCAAAGGCUCAACCUUUGAAAGCCGAUGGAUACUGUGAAGCUUGAGUCCGGAAGAGGUGAGUGGAACUGCGAGUGUAGAGGUGAAAUUCGUAGAUAUUCGCAAGAACACCAGUGGCGAAGGCGGCUCACUGGUCCGGUACUGACGCUGAGGUGCGAAAGCGUGGGGAGCAAACAGG
rnacentral:rRNA from 1 species